AAUGAACGUUGGCGGCGUGGAUUAGGCAUGCAAGUCGUGCGAUAACCCCGCAAGGGGGGAAAGCGGCGAAAGGGAGAGUAACGCGUGGGUACCUGCCCCUUGGUCCGGAAUAGCUGCGGGAAACUGCAGGUAAUGCCGGAUAAUAUCCUCGGAUCAAAGGUGUGAUUCCGCCGAGGGAGGGGCCCGCGUUCUAUUAGCUAGUUGGUAGGGUAAUGGCCUACCAAGGCGACGAUGGAUACCGGGUGUGAGAGCAUGACCCGGCUCACUGGGACUGAGACACUGCCCAGACGCCUACGGGUGGCUGCAGUCGGGAAUCUUCGGCAAUGGGCGCAAGCCUGACCGAGCGACGCCGCGUGCGGGAUGAAGGCCUUCGGGUUGUAAACCGCUGUCGUAGAGGAGGAAAUGCCAUGGGGUUCUCUCCAUGGUUUGACCUAUUCUAGGAGGAAGGACGGGCUAAGUUCGUGCCAGCAGCCGCCGUAA
rnacentral:rRNA from 1 species